AAAAAAAAAAAAAACAAGAACAGCAACCGGGCUGCCUCUGUUAAAAAAAAACAGAAAUGCGAGCAGGGUGCUCAAUUCAGCCCAGUUAUCAGUAAGGUUUCAAAACUACAUGCCCUGGGCUUCCAGCCAAUUCUGUUUCUUGGACAGUUUGACCGAAAGGGCCGUAUAGUAGGGGACGUGAUCACAUAGAGCCAGCGGAUGGUGCUGCACGUGACAUCCUCAUGAAGAUGAGGAAACUUUAUGAACACCUUCUGAGAAAAUUACAAGCUUCACCUCCUGCUGAAAGUUCUACACCAGCAGCUGGACCAUCCUCUGCUGACAGUGUCGAUGCUGGACCAGUCCCAGACCCAGAGGCUCUAAACGAGGAAUUUAUUCUUCAUUUAGAGCCUGAACCAACAUCUUCCCUCUGUCAGCCUCCUGUAUCCUCCUCUUCAUCUCUGCUUCCUCCUGCAUCCUCCUCUUCAUCUCCGCUUCCUGCAUUUCCCUCAAUUUCUACGGCGUACACCUCGGAUGUCCCAAACAAAAAAAGGACAAGGAAAGAAUGCCAAAAACACCGUACACAGAAGAUUUUCAAAUAUGAAGAGAUAGUAGACAGGAGAGUUGUAAAUGAAAAAGAUGUUAAAGUCAAGUGGAAGCCCUGCUCGAUAUGGGUUAUGCAGGCUCAGUAUUGGUUGAAGAUGCAGUCACAUCUCCUUUUACUAAAAACUCUCCCCCUCUCCCUCACCAUCUGUAAGCAUACAUGUCUCAGUAAUGCAGUUCAUGCAUGUUACUAACUAAACUUCUUCCCUGGAGUUUCUGUGCUCUCUCAUCCAGCAGGUUCCGAUGGCUCGUGGCUGCUGCUGUGGUCCUGCUUGACAUCUACUCCAUAUAUUAUUACUCUCUGACUUGAUUUGAUUAAUUUAUAUUACAAUGAAGGUGUAUAAAGCAUGACAUGAA
ensembl:lncRNA